ensembl:lncRNA
GCCGUAGUGGCUUCCAGAGCCAUCUUUUCGGUCUUGGUCAGGAUUUGUUACAGUUGCCCUUCAAUGUAGCAGGCUACGGGUUUCUGAAGAAGCCUGUUUUACGUAGCAUUGGAGUACAAAUAUUGUGCAAAAUGCUCAUGUAAUUGCACUAGCACUGGUAACCUGUAGACUAGCUUAGUUUAACGUCAUUCGGUGCUGUCUGUCAAAUGUGUGGCUUACUUUAAGUCCACAAGGCCCUCUGGUAAACCACGUUGGAAAACCCCUGGACAAGGUGAUUAGUCACUGGGUGUGUGCUAAAGUUUUGUUCCAUUUUUCACUAGUUGGUUAAGGUUUGGUAGAAUUGUUUGGAUGCUAGCGACGUGAUGGCGUAUGUACAAGAGCCUACCGUGGCCAGGCCACAGUUGAGACGGCCACGGCCAGAUGGCCUAGUGUGAGUGCAACCUUGAUUGCAUUUGUAUACUGUUUACCAUUGGAUGUUUAUGCAAUUUGGCUUAAUUCAUCCGCUGUAAAGCUGCAUUUGACUAUUCCAGGGUCGUUUUGUACAGGCUUUCAAUUGACCAUGUUGACUAGUUUGUGGAAAGUAGUUAUUUUUUUUAUUUUUUUUUACCCUUGCUUACAAUCCAACGGUUGCGACCACUUAUGCAACUGGGCUGUGAACCUUGCAAUUCUAGUUGCAUAUUUGUACACGCAAGCUUGUCCAUUUCUAUCGCCAACACUAACACUAGCUUCAGCAUUUCCUUGUAGGCCAUUAGCUGACUUGUGUAUUGGAGUGACGAUUUGGGUAUUUUAAGAUGCUUGAAAACCUAAAAUAAAGCAAAAUGCGUGUCUGGUGUGCAAGAGCCAAUUUGUUGGCUUGCAGUAGUCGAGGAGUUGCCGUAGGUCGUAAGCCAUCUGGAGGUUGUGGCAAUGGAGGUUUGUGGUAGAUCUGCCAUCCAAGAAAGGUUAAUUCUUCUGAAGCAUGAUUAAUAGUUUAGUAAAUUGAAUCUAUUCAUAUAGAACUAUAAAAUCCAAGACUGCAGCCAGUAACUUGGAUCGCAAUAUGUGGAAAGUAUUGGUCUUCAUUUGUAACAGAAUAAUUAACAUGACUAACUGGGUUUCUUCCAUUUUCUAACUAGGGGGGGACUUGACUGAGUCUACUGGAUUAAUCAGUAGCGGUACUUUGCCCAACAGAUUAGAUGGCAUGACUACAGGAUGACAAAGACAAUUAUUCCCUGCCUAUCAAAAGAGACUUCUAAAACAUAUCUGCUAGAACAGUUCCUAUACUUUUUGUAUAAUUUGGUCAUGCUGCAAAUUUACUUUUUGUAGUUGCUCCAUAUUUAGUUCUUUGACGGCCUCACCUGCUAGAAAAGUCUAUUCAAAUCGGCUAAAUAUAAUGAACUAAAUUACCCCCUUUCAGUUGGUGGUUCAACACUGAUGUCUCUCUAGGCUUGAGGGAGAGCUCACACGAAUGUCCUGGAGCAAUUGUGAAUACACUUUUAUUUAGUCUACCUGACCAGGGACAUCUUUGAACUAUAGGUCACCUAACCCAAACUUUUCACUCUUGUUAGGUUGUCCUUUUCUCUUGUUUUAACCCGAAAGGGCUGAAAAUAUCAACAUUUCAGGUAUUCUGUUUGGAUAAUGUGCAAAACUUGUGGCUUCACUAAUUAAAAAAAUUAACGAAUGUAUUUUUCUUAAUGUGGUUAAACUAUUUAAAGAUUUGUAUGCAAAA